rnacentral:rRNA from 1 species
UACAGAGGGUGCGAGCGUUAAUCGGAAUUACUGGGCGUAAAGCGUGCGUAGACGGCUAUCUAAGUCGGGUGUGAAAGCCCCGGGCUCAACCUGGGAAUUGCAUUCGAGACUGAAUAGCUAGGGUACGGUAGAGGGAAGUGGAGUUUCCGGUGUAGUGGUGAAAUGCGUAGAUAUCGGGAGGAACACCAGUGGCGAAGGCGACUUCCCGGCCUGUUCUUGACGCUGAGGCGCGAAAAGCUAGGGGAGCAAACGGGG